rnacentral:rRNA from 1 species
AUUGAACGCUGGCGGCAGGCUUAACACAUGCAAGUCGAGCGGGGAAGGGUAGCUUGCUACCUAACCUAGCGGCGGACGGGUGAGUAAUGCUUAGGAAUCUGCCUAUUAGUGGGGGACAACAUUCCGAAAGGAAUGCUAAUACCGCAUACGCCCUACGGGGGAAAGCAGGGGAUCUUCGGACCUUGCGCUAAUAGAUGAGCCUAAGUCAGAUUAGCUAGUUGGUGGGGUAAAGGCCUACCAAGGCGACGAUCUGUAGCGGGUCUGAGAGGAUGAUCCGCCACACUGGGACUGGGACACGGCCCAGACUCCUACGGGAGGCAGCAGUGGGGAAUAUUGGACAAUGGGCGCAAGCCUGAUCCAGCCAUGCCGCGUGUGUGAAGAAGGCCUUUUGGUUGUAAAGCACUUUAAGCGAGGAGGAGGCUACUUGGAUUAAUACUCUAGGAUAGUGGACGUUACUCGCAGAAUAAGCACCGGCUAACUCUGUGCCAGCCGCCGCUGUAACAC